UAGGGAAUCUUCCACAAUGGACGCAAGUCUGAUGGAGCAACGCCGCGUGAGUGAAGAAGGUCUUCGGAUCGCAAAACUCUGUUGUUAGAGAAGAACACGAGUGAGAGUAACUGUUCAUUCGAUGACGGUAUCUAACCAGCAAGUCACGGCUAACUACGUGCCAG
rnacentral:rRNA from 1 species